GACGGGCUCAGCCUGCAGACGUGUCCCUCUCUCCAGCACAAGUUGCACUAACUUGGGGAAGGGAGGGGGGGCUGCGGGAAAGCGCCCGCGAGGUUUCCGAGGAGAAUAGGGUUUACCUGUGGUUAGAUUGUCAUUGAUUUUCAAAGGCACCCUCAGGAUGUAGACCAGGAAAAGCAUGAUGAAGAACCACAGGGUCCAGAGAUCUCUUUCCACUCGACUACCCAAGAACUCAGACUCCAGCUGUCACUCAGGAGACUGACAGCAAAUACCACUUUUACACCUCUAAGUAGAAAAAGUUUCUGACUUCGUCAUCUUUCAACUGCCUCCUCUUCAGCCCUCUCAACUGCAACAGAA